GACGAGCCGUCCAAACGUUAUUCGGAAUCACUGGGCUUACAGAGUUCGUAGGCGGUCUGGAAAGUUGGGUGUGAAAUCCCUCGGCCUAACCGAGGAACUGCGCUUGAAACUACCAGACUCGAGGGAGAUAGAGGAAAGCGGAACUGAUGGUGGAGCGGUGAAAUGCGUUGAUAUCAUCAGGAACACCGGUGGCGAAGGCGGCUUUCUGGGUCUUACCUGACGCUGAGGAACGAAAGCCAGGGGAGCGAACGGG
rnacentral:rRNA from 1 species